AAACAUCGCCGCUACAUAUUCCUUGCAGUGAGUAACUUAAGUUUCUCGACAAAUUAAUUAUCAUAUACUACAUAGUUUUUUUUUAUCUUAUACAUAGUUGUUAAAUGCAACUUAAGCGUGCUUAUUAUUAUUUUGAUGUUGUACAAACACGUGGUUACCAUUUUAGAAAAAGGGCCCUGGGUUCUAGUUUCGCCCCCGAAAUCAUAGGACCCGCCCUGAGCGCAUCACCCUGGUUAGCCUGGUAAGUCCCAGCCCAUGCUCUGUUCUUAUUCUCCGGCGAGAUUUUCUCAGCCCCGCAUCUUUUUAUCUUUAUGUUUCUUCUCCGGCUUGAGGGAGUGGAUUCCCAUCACUAGAUUCUUGGAUAAAAGGAGGAGAUGCAAGAUACUCCACAACCGCAUGGACCAAACCUAUAGCUCGAUCGGCCUUGUUAAGUGACAAUAUAUUGAGAUCUAGAACAUUGCGGAGCAACGAGUGACAAAAGUAUUAGAUGAGAUGUGGAACAUUGCGGGUAACUCUUUGUUGACUGGACACAUGAGAUGCAACGUGAGCUUCUUCGCCUGUAACGGGAUGCAUUUCUCUUCCAGAUUAUUGAAGAGAUUGUUAAGGAUUGAAUGUUCUAUUUGGUACUGUCCAGAUGAGUUCGUCCUGUGCUAGAAGGUGUGUGGGAUAUAGGAGAUACCAGGAGAGAUAUUUCAGUUGCAAUCCAGCUUUAUUUCAAUGUAAAAGAUGCAGGUUCUACGAUCUCCUGUGUUGCUACAUCUUCAUCUCCUGCAUUGUUGUAACUCUGUUCUGCUGCUCGAG